GAAAUAUUCGGCAGACCAGUUAUAUAACAGAUAAAAUCCAGCUAACAACUUCUUCCUCUUUCUCAGUCUCACGUCAACAACCGUGGUUGUUGUCACCGGAGAAACGAGCUUUGUCAUCUAACAAUGAUCCCUUACGCAACGGUGGAAGAUGGCGUUAGGUUAGAAACCUCACGAGACUCGAGACUGUUUUUGGUUCGAAUACUCCGUCACCAAAGUCAGAUUACUACCUCCGCUGCAACAACAUUCUAUUCCUCUUUCUAAUCCUCUCCCUUUCGUCUUCGUAGAACUGGCGCGAUCCGUCUCAGGCUGGUUCGAUUGGUACAAGAUUCUAACCUAAGGGUUAAGAACUCCUUCUCCUACAUGUUCCGUUGUUACAGAGACGUCAUGAAGAUGUUCAUCCUCGUAUUUGGCUCUUUACAACUAGUUUCUUAUCCCUCGAUCCAGAAGUGGAUCGCCAUUACGAUCUAUGAUGGAGAUCGUAGCACAGUUAGUGGUUUACUUCUUGGGUUCAUAGAUUCUUCCAUUGCAAAUGGGGUUAGCAUCUAUCUAUUCUGGAUGAAACUAUUAACAAUGUGGUUAUAUUAAUUCUACUUUUCAUCAGGAUUACCAAUUCCAAAAGAAGCUUCUUCAGCAGGUAAAAUAAAUACUUCCCAAGCUGAGACUUGUUUUUCUCUUGUGAUAACCAUAAAUAUGUUGUCUCUGUUGUCCUAGUUUAAUGUCAUGUUGAUGAUGAUAUGUUUCUUUGAUGUUUUACUUGCAUAGACUCCACUACUUGAUGCAUGUAUGUUACGAUUUGCAGAUCAAGGAUAAGCUAUAAGCAUCCAUUUUCCAUUCUUGGACUUUUUUUUUUUUUGAACAACUCCAUUCUUGGACUUUGUAUUCUGAAUCCAUGCUUUGAAACUCGAAUUAUCCAUCGAUUUUUGCUGGGGUAAAGUUAUAUUGAUUUACUAAGUAAGUGAUGAACACCAAAUUUAAAUCAACAGCCCGUCUAGCUCAGUUGGUAGAGCGCAAGGCUCUUAACCUUGUGGUCGUGGGUUCGAGCCCCACGGUGGGCGUUUUUUUUUGGCAAUUUUACGGGAAUCAGUAGGUUAUAAUUUUUAUUCAUCUCAUCGUCUGUGACAUUCAUCCAUGAUCCUAGCUCUCUUAUUGUGUCUUUUUUGAUAUUUUUCGUUAACUGUGUACAAUAUGAUAUUCCAUGGACUCUGACGAAAUACAUUCCUUUCUACGGUGGAGCUGAGUAUCAUGACUACCAUCAUUACGUUGGAGGACAGAGCCAGAGCAACUUUGCCUCAGUUUUCACUUACUGCUAUUACAUCUAUGGAACUGAUAAAGUAAGAGAAAUACUUCCUAAGCUGAUCAGACUUGAAAAAUUGGUUUAUCUACGUCAAGACUCACAAAAGAAGGGGUAGUUCGUUUUUUCUCUUCUAAAUUCGUCCUCGUCCUCUUCUAAAUUCGUCCCCGAGGGGUUGGCCCCUGGGGGUGGAAGUCCCUCCAGGUUAAACAAAAAAAAAAAAAAAAAAAAUUCGUCCUCGUCCUUUUUUUCAUUAUUAUACUCUGUAUUUUGAAUCCAUGAUUUGAAACUACUAACCAUAGAUUUUAGAUGUAAAAGAGCGUUGCUCAUUUGGGUAAAGUAAUAUUGAUUUAGUAAAGUAGGUAAGAAGAUUAAAGUAAACACUUGGUUACGUAUCAAAAGCCCGUCUAGCUCAGUUGGUAGAGCGCAAGGCUCUUAACCUUGUGGUCGUGGGUUCGAGCCCCACGGUGGGCGUUUCUUUUGCAAUUUUACGGGAAUCAGGUUAUAUCGUCAUCCUAAAUUAUACACUUUUGAAUGUUACUUAUAUAUUGUUUCCUCUUUGAUCUUUUUCGUUCCAUUACUUUAUAUGACCGGCUUUGAUUCACUAAAACUCGACUCAGCAAACUUGCAAAUACUACUGAUUACUAAAAAUCAUUACUGAUUAAGUUGAUGAUAUUUCUAAGCAUUUUGGAAAAUUUGUGUUGCAAUCUAAAAAGACAUUCAGAGGUCAAAACUUGUUUUACAACGACAAUAGUUCAAGAAUGAGACUAGUGGCUGUUAGGUUUUAGGGUAAAUUACCUUAAAUAGCCAAAAUAUUUGACAAACCGUUUCCAUAUGUUUUUUUUCUUCAAUGAUUUAUUUCUAGGAAAAAGGCAACAAUAAUUACAUUUGUAAAAUUCAACAUUAUUAAUGACUUUGACUUAAUGACUUAACGUGUUUGUGACCCCCAGUUGCAGGUUGGGAGGAUCACUGUAAUCAGUUUGACGAGUUCAACACUAGAAGUUACUGGAGAGACACGGACCCGCUUGAUUUCUAUGUCUAAGCUGUUAAGAAACGGACAGAAGAUGCGUGGA